UACAGAGGGUGCAAGCGUUAAUCGGAAUUACUGGGCGUAAAGCGCACGUAGGUGGCUUGAUAAGUUGGGUGUGAAAUCCCCGGGCUUAACCUGGGAAUUGCAUUCAAGACUGUCUUGCUAGAGUGUGGAAGAGGGAAGCGGAAUUCCCGGUGUAGCGGUGAAAUGCGCAGAUAUCGGGAGGAACACCGGUGGCGAAGGCGGUUCUCUGGGCCUUACCUGACGCUGAGGAGCGAAAGCGUGGGGAGCGAACAGG
rnacentral:rRNA from 1 species